rnacentral:tRNA from 1 species
GCCAGCGUGGUGGAAUAGGUAGACACGCUAGACUCAAAAUCUUGUGGCCGCAAGGCCGUGUCGGUUCGACUCCGACCGCUGGUACCA